rnacentral:lncRNA from 10 species
AUAUUCUUUCCUCAGCAAUGUAAAGUCUCCUGAACUGCUCAUUGACAUAAUUCAUAUCUGUUACCUUGUUUUUUAUUUCUAUCAAUUAAAUUUGACUCUUUCAUAUAUUUUAUCUCUCUACUGAAAUCCGUCUAUUCAUACAUGUUGUUUCCAUUUUCCAAUGGAGCCUUUAACAUAUUAAUCAUAGUUAUUUUAAGUUCCCAGAUAGUCUCAACAUCUAGGUAGUCUUUAGGAUUGCUUUUAUUCUCCAAGAUGACAGAUUGGAGGUAGUGUUCACAUGUCACUCCCACUUGGAAAGACAAAAUAGCCUGUAUAUAUUCACCCUGUGACUUUAUUCCCAAGGAACACUGCAGGAACUAAACAGGAAAACUAAAAUCCACAGAUUAUUUUUAUUUUAUUUGUCUGAGAUGGAGUCUCACUCUGUCACCCAGGCUGGAGUGGAGUGGCACAAUCUCAGUUCACUGCAACUCCGCCUCCCGGGUUCAAGCAAUUCUCCUGCCUCAGCCUUCCGAGUGGCUGGGACUACAGACAUGCAUCACCACCAGUUAAUUUUUGUAUUUUUAGUAGAGACGGGGUUUCACCAUGUUGCCCAGGCUGGUCUCAAAUUCCUGACCUCAAGUGAUCCACCUGCCUUGGGCUCCCAAAGUGCUGGGAUUACAGGCAUAAGCCACCACACCUGGCCCACAGAUUAUUUUUUUAAAGUAGCAGGCUGCAGCCUAUGGCACCAGCCAGGUUAAAAACAAAACAAAACAACAACAACAACAAAAAAAAAAACUGUAAGUCCCCAGAAUGUGAGAGGGGAAGUGACUGCCUCCAGGGUAUACACCCCCACCAGGGAACCUGGUAAUCUAGGCCACAGGGAAAGGCCUUAACCAACACUGGAACUGAUUUUGAGAGUGGAGAGGAAUAUUAAAGCACAAACGGCAGCAGGAAGAACUCUGCAUGCACUCCCAGUCUCCAGCAUCGACCAAGGGAAGCCAUUCCUUAUUCUGCCACACAGGAGACCUCACAAAAGUCUGCCAACUUACUCAGGCAGCAGCCAUUGCCUGAGUUAAUUAAAAGAAGCUCCCAACUGAAUUUCACGAUAUAACCUCGAGUGGGGAAGAACUCCCUUGGCCAGAACCCGGGAGCGAAUGGGAAGUGUGCUGCAGGCAUGAGCAAAUGAGCCGGGUGCCCCGGCUGUGCAGGCAGACUGGCAGGGGCAUGGCCUGAAAGCCAUGGUUCUUGUCUCCACAGGGGAAGGCUUAUGGCCCAAGGAAGUUUUGAGUUCUAAGCAUAGAUGGCCAGGAACUUAGCUGGCUGCUGCUAGCAGAAUACUGCAGCCAUGUCUAUUCGACUUUUCCACAUUGAGCAUGAUUCAUUGAAGUUUUUGUUAUACUGAAGCGUGGUUCUCCUCCUCUGCUGGCACUGGUAUGUCAUCGCCUCUGGGCUGCUUAGAAGACUCCUUUAGCAUGUGCUAUUUCCAUAGCACCUCUCUGCAACCUUCAUCUUUCUUUGUGAGUCUCUUCCUCCUGACCAUGUGGUAGCUCCAUUCUGAAACCAGAAUUAUAAAUAAAUAAAGACUUGGAUUUGCCUCUGUCUUUCCCCACACUUAAUACUUCCUGCUCCUGUUCACCAAGGAGGAGAUUUUCUCCCAACCAGUGACUUCAGCUUCAAUUAGGAGUUCCAAAGCAAUCCUGGCACUCUUGGCUUUAGCAUCCUUUCUCAAAUGUCUUGGAAUAACUGCCAAGCACUGUAUUGGAGACCAUAACAUUACCUAGGAUCUCCCAGGGACCAAGAACCACUGUCUCCUUGAAUUCUGGAUGAUCUGCUACUUCACAAUAAGUUCCAAACUCAUAAAGAGUAUCCAAAGCCCCAGAGUUUGAGGGUAAUCUUUGUUUCCCUCCUUGUUCAAGACAGUACAUUUUACUGACCUGGUAUAUUCUUUAUCUAUUGCUGCAUUGAAAAUUACUCCAGUUGGGCUACAGUCAACACAAGGUUCAACUGGGACAAGAUAUACUUCCAAACUCAUCCGGUGGCUGUUGGCAGGUUUCACUUCCUUUUGGGCCGUUGGGCUGAGGACCCAGUUCUCUGCUGGAUGCUGACUAGAAGCUGCCCUGGAUUUCUUGCCUUGCAGGUUCCUCCAACAUGGCAGCUGGUUUCAGCAUCAAAGCACACAAGCCAAGAAGUCAAUAGAGAGGAGAAAGCAGCA